GCUGAAAAGCGUAGUCGAUGGGAGACAGGUUAAUAUUCCUGUACCGCGCAUAACUGCGACGGGGGGACGGAGAAGGCUAGGCCAGCACGGCGUUGGUUGUCCGUGUUUAAGGGUGUAGGUUGAGAAGUUAGGCAAAUCCGGCUUCUUAAGACUGAGACCUGAUGACGAGCUCCUUUAUGGAGUGAAGUGGUUGAUGCCAUGCUUCCAGGAAAAUCCUCUAAGCUUCAGGUUAUGUGUGACCGUACCCCAAACCGACACAGGUGGUCAGGUUGAGAAUACCAAGGCGCUUGAGAGA
rnacentral:rRNA from 1 species